rnacentral:lncRNA from 1 species
AUGCGCGAGUCUGGGUGGACGUUGAAAAGAAUUUACGGCUUGGAAUUGAGGUUGAAUCCAAACUGUGCUCUAUCAAAGGGGUCGAGCUACAUACCGUUAAACUUCAAAACGAACUUUAUUGUCAACGUGAAGAACGAUGAUCAAAAAUGUUUUAUGUACGCGUUACUCGGGAAAUUUUUACCGAAAGACACUCACCACAAGAAUUUACCGACUUCUUAUGACAAAAAUUUACAAGAAAAAUACGAUUUCUCCUGUUUCAAGUCUUUCCCCAUUCGUCUCGAUGAUAUUCCAAAAUUCGAGAAGUUGAAUAAAAUGUCCAUAUCUGUUUUUGGAAUCAGACAGGGGGACAAGGGAGAUCUCGAUAGAAGCUUAAAAUUCUUCCCGCUCAAGGUGGCUGAGCCGGAGAUGGAGGACCACCGUGAUUUAUUGUAUGUCGCCGAUCCCGAUGAUGAGCUUAAAUUCCACUAUUGUUGGAUAACGCAAUUAGAUAAACUAGUUCGUAAGCAAAUUACUGGGAGCCAUGGUCGUAUUUACCUUUGUAAAAAGUGUUUCGCUCACAAAAAUACGCCUGAAGAAUUGAUUGAGCAUAAAGUGCUUUGUAAUAAUAUUUCUAAAGAUGCAUAUGUUGCAACCUUCCCACCGAAACUUUACUCUGAGUUUGAUAAAAUAAAAAAUAUUUUACCCCAUGAAUAUGUGUGCUAUGCAGACUUUGAGAGUUGCUUGGAGAAAAUAGAUGGAGACGGAGGAGAUGAAUUUGAGGAUGAGGAGUUUGGGAGUGCAGCAGAUAAAGAGGACCAACAAGAGUUCAGAAAAACUUUUGCAUACCAAAAGCAUGUACCGAUGAGCUAUGCAUACAUCGUUGUCUCCCCUGACCCCAAUUUUAAUAUGGAGUCCCCCGUCUCGUACUUGGGGAAUGAUGCUCAUACCCAUUUUGUGCGCACGAUCAUUAAAUUGGGGAAACGAAUUGCUAAGACCUAUAAUAAACGCGACUCACAAAUCAUAAUGUCGGAGGAGGAUAUCGAAACCCAUGCGAACACGACUCACUGUAAGAUCUGUAACGUGUCUUUCAGUGAGGAGCGCGUUGUUAAAUGUCGCGAUCACUGUCAUCAACCUCGUCAAUUGGAAAAUGAUGAAACACCAAUACCUAAUUAUCGGGGUGCGCUUUGUCGCGAUUGCAAUUUAAAAUAUCAGCACGAAAAAGCCUUUAGAGUAUUUUUUCACAAUCUCGACUACGAUGUUCAUCACAUCGUUAGGGGGCUUGAAGAGGUACUGAGAACGGAAGAAUUUUCAAUUUCUAUCAUACCAGCCACCGAGGAGAGGUAUAUUUCUUUGAGUAUUGAAAUCGGUGAUCGUUUCAGAAUUACAUUUGUCGAUAGCUAUCGAUUCCUUCAGACCUCUCUCAGCAACCUCGCGAAAACCAUCCCGGAUACCGCGUUUAUUCGUACGAGAAAUUUGUGCAAAACCGACGAGCAGUUCAAAUUAGCAUGUCAAAAAGCCAUUUUUCCCUACGAUUUCGUGGAUGAACCGUCUAAAUUGAAUAUAACCGAGCCGCCUCCUCGAUCAGCAUUUCAUAAUCAACUUACUGAUACUGGUAUCAGCGAGGCUGAUUAUGAAAGGUUUGUUUGA